UCAUAUGUUUGUUUUUUCUUACUCCAGCUACAUAUUCUAAGUCUAUAUUAUUUUUACAUGCUUAUUUGAUACACAGGAAAGUUGUGUGAAGAACAAACUUAAUCGUGAAAAAGUACAGUAUCAACAAUGCACAGGCUCUCAGUCCUACAUUGCAAAGGCUUUUAUAUUGAAGCAAGAAAAAUAUAAGGACGUGGAACCUAGUGCAAUUGAUCUUUUCAAGGACAUGCAUUGUAGCAAAAAGAAAGGUUUUAGUGAAAAUGUUCAGAAAGCUAUUGUUGACAUGGAAGAAAUGGUAGCAGCACCAGUUCAGGAUGGACAACAACCAAAAUCUCCUACAGAAGUUGUUUCUAAUGUGCUACCAGGCUCCAGUGUGUUCCUACACAAUGUUGGUCUUAAGUCCGCCUCCAAGAAAAGCUCCACAACGACUGUUUCUGCAAAGGUUCAACAACUUCAGGAUGAACUAGAAACCGAGAAGCAAGAAAAAGAUGGCCUUCGGGAAGAAGUGGAAACCUUGAAGGCUCAAGCACAAGCAUCUCAGGAGACCAUUAGUAGUAUGAAGAGGUCGAUGGAAGAAAAUAACAACCUCCUUCGUCAACUAUUAAGCUUCAAUCGAGGCC